UACGUAGGUGGCGAGCGUUGUCCGGAUUUACUGGGCGUAAAGAGCGCGCAGGCGGUCGUUCAAGUCGCGUGUGAAAGCCCCCGGCUCAACUGGGGAGGGUCACGCGAUACUGAUCGACUCGAAGGCAGGAGAGGGAAGUGGAAUUCCGGGUGUAGUGGUGAAAUGCGUAGAUAUCCGGAGGAACACCAGUGGCGAAGGCGACUUUCUGGCCUGUUCUUGACGCUGAGGCGCGAAAGCUAGGGGAGCAAACGGG
rnacentral:rRNA from 1 species